ACUAAUUUGGCAGAUAAGUGCGGUGGAUUUAGAAUCUAUAUAUGUGUUUUACUACACAUUUAGUA
rnacentral:tRNA from 1 species